AACGAACGCUGGCGGCAGGCUUAACACAUGCAAGUCGAGCGCCCCGCAAGGGGAGCGGCAGACGGGUGAGUAACGCGUGGGAAUCUACCCAUCUCUACGGAAUAACGCAUGGAAACGUGUGCUAAUACCGUAUACGUCCUUCGGGAGAAAGAUUUAUCGGAGAUGGAUGAGCCCGCGUUGGAUUAGCUAGUUGGUGGGGUAAAGGCCUACCAAGGCGACGAUCCAUAGCUGGUCUGAGAGGAUUAGCAGCCACACUGGGACUGAGACACGGCCCAGACUCCUACGGGAGGCAGCAGUGGGGAAUAUUGGACAAUGGGCGCAAGCCUGAUCCAGCCAUGCCGCGUGAGUGAUAAAGGCCCUAGGGUUGUAAAGCUCUUUCACCGGUGAAGAUAAUGACGGUAACCGGAGAAGAAGCCCCGGCUAACUUCGUGCCAGCCGCCGCCGUAAAAC
rnacentral:rRNA from 1 species